GAGGCACGGGGUUCCCUAAGGCUAUCUGGGGGUACCGCUUCUCCGUCAGACAGCUGAAGAGGUGUCACUUGGAUGUGGAAACAGUACGAACAGUGUGGAGGUCUCAAAACUGGAUGUCAGCUCCUCCCAAAGCAGGCAACAGAGAUGAAAUGAGGACAGAUGUUACCUGGACUUCCUGGCUUUUACCAUCUUCAUACAGGAGAAGUUGGUAACCUUUUCCCCAGGCUCCUUGCCUGAGGAUUCACCGUCAUCUACUCUAACACAAGCAGAAAUCACUCUGGUUGGUUCUGAGGCGCUUCUGGGUGCUCAGGAAUGGCACGCUUGCUUUCUAUGGACCUGGAUUUGUGGUGUUUAUCUGUCCCACAUGGAGGAAACUCAGAGCCAGACCACCCCAUUUUAAUGUGGUGCCUUUCAGAUCAAGAGGUACGCAACCAAUGGUCCUGUAAAAUUCUUCAGCCAUUGGAGAAGACAUACAAAUGGAGUCGAACCUGCCAAGCCCAGCAUAUUUUUAAAAGUAAUCUUGUUCUUAUUAAAUUCAUAUUGACUCUUGAGGGGAGGGGGGAAAUCACAUUUUUUAUGAUUCAUCACUUCCUCAAGAUAAUAAAACAUGAUCCGAAGAUAUAAAAAA